ACCAAUUUUCCACUUUUUACUCUUAUUCAAAUUUUUUUUGAUUGAUAUUUUUGUUUUUAUUAGAUGAUAAAUCAUGAAUAGUAUUUUACGUGUGACUAAUUUUUUCUAAUUUCUUGAAAAUUUUUUAAAUAAGACGGAUGGUCAAACGUUGGACACAGAAACCGAAG
rnacentral:pre_miRNA from 1 species